rnacentral:lncRNA from 1 species
GACUUGAAUAGCUCUCUGUGUCCUGCUCUGAACUCAGGUGUUGGGUGCUGUAAGGGGACCUCAGCUAAGCUCUGAAGUUGAGACACAGGGUCACUGCCCACAAUUCAGAGGAGCAGGGUGUGUGGACCACCUGGGGAUCUCCAUUCCCACACACAGCAUCCUCUCCCACUGAGGCCAGACAUGGCAGUCCAUUAAGGGAACAGAUUCCAAAGAUAGGCAGCAGCUUUAUGGCCAGCCAGUGCUACAGUUAUUGGAGGACCCUCAUGAAGACUGAGCUGCACAUCUGCUACCUACAUGUCAGGGGCCUUAGUCCAGUGUAUCCUAUUUGGUCAGUGGCUCAAUUUCUGUGUGUCCCCAAGGGACACUCCUGGAAGAGUAGAAUUUGCUGGAUCCUUCCUAGAAGAGUCUACAAAGAUGUGAUGCAGGGAACCUACUUGGACCUCACUGUUAUAGGCCACACUUGGGAAGACUAUCAUAUUGAAGGACAUUGUCAAAGUUCGAGAAGACAUGAAAGGUAAUCUCCAUGUGCAAGCUGAUACACAUAGGCCUCUGAGGAAAUUUUAAUAUGUUCUGGAAGCUCUAAAGAAAAGCAAGAGUGCCGGGCAGUGGUGGCGGACACCUUUAAUCCCAGCACUUGGGAGGAAGAAGCAACACAGGUAACCUAGCAACGUUUUACAUGACAAAGCCUUGCCUGCCUUCCUGCUCUAAGAUCAGUUUGUGGAUCCACCCCCCACCCCCACCCCCAGAGCCUUUGUCUGAUUUAAACACACAAAUGUCACCUCUGUGUCUUGUCUUUUGGAAAGUCAGCCUUGAUUCCCUUGGGCAGAAUUCAUUUUCACUGUGGAUUAUGCCUCUGCCUGACCUGAGAGAACUUUCAGAGGUGAGACACUGUGUUUGUCUCAUGAGUUUAGAAUACCCAGGGCUUGAAAUCAGACAAGGAAUGAAAGACCCCCAAAGGGAGACCUUCACUCAAGUCUCGGGAAAAGCGCUCACCCAGUGAGACACUUAGAUCAGACUUGCUGUAACCA